GACGAACGCUGGCGGCGUGCUUAACACAUGCAAGUCGAACGGUGAAGCGCCUUCCUUUUUGGUGGGUGUGGAUGAGUGGCGAACGGGUGAGUAACACGUGAGUAACCUGCCCCCUUCUUCUGGAUAACCGCAUGAAAGUGUGGCUAAUACGGGAUAUUCUGGGUCUGUCGCAUGAUGGGUCUGGGAAAGAUAUUGUUUCGGUGGGGGAUGGACUCGCGGCCUAUCAGCUUGUUGGUGGGGUGAUGGCCUACCAAGGCGGUGACGGGUAGCCGGCCUGAGAGGGUGGACGGUCACACUGGGACUGAGACACGGCCCAGACUCCUACGGGAGGCAGCAGUGGGGAAUAUUGCACAAUGGGCGCAAGCCUGAUGCAGCGACGCCGCGUGAGGGAUGGAGGCCUUCGGGUUGUGAACCUCUUUCGCCAGUGAAGCAGGCCUGCCUCGUUUGUGGGUGGGUUGACGGUAGCUGGAUAAGAAGCGCCGGCUAACUACGUG
rnacentral:rRNA from 1 species